rnacentral:rRNA from 1 species
GUAUAAGUGUUAUACAGCGAAACUGCGAAUGGCUCAUUAAAACAGUUAUAGUUUAUUUGACAAUCGAAUUUACAUGGAUAACCGUGGUAAUUCUAGAGCUAAUACAUGCUGGUGUGCCCGACUUCACGGAAGGGCGGUAUUUAUUAGAUAACAAGCCAAUAUUCCUCUGGUCUAUUGUGGUGACUCAUAAUAACUGAUCGAAUCGCAAGGUCUAUGACCGCGAUAAGUCAUUCAAGUUUCUGCCCCAUCAGCUUUCGAUGGUAGUGUAUUGGACUACCAUGGCGUUUACGGGUAACGGAGGAUUAGGGUUCGAUUCCGGAGAGGGAGCCUGAGAAACGGCUACCACAUCUAAGGAAGGCAGCAGGCGCGUAAAUUACCCAAUCCUGACUCAGGGAGGUAGUGACAAGAAAUAACGGACUGAGGCCUUCGGGCUUCGGGAUUGCAAUGAGCCGAAUUUACACCCCUUAGCGAGGAUCGAUUGGAGGGCAAGUCUGGUGCCAGCAGCCGCGGUAAUUCCAGCUCCAAUAGCGUAUAUUAAAGUUGUUGCAGUUAAAAAGCUCGUAGUUGGAUUUCUGGCGGGGUGCCAAUGUCCGCCGUGUGGCGUGCGCAGCGGCGCCCUGUCAUCCUUCUGUUAACGUCUCUCGGGAUUUAUUUCUCGGUGGCGGGCCCAGAUAUUUUACCUUGAGAAAAUUAGAGUGUUUCAGGCAGGCUAGGCCGGAAUACAUUAGCAUGGAAUAAUGGAAUAGGACUACGGUCUCUUUGUUGGUUUGAGGGACUGGAGUAAUGAUUAAUAGGGAUAGUUGGGGGCAUU